rnacentral:rRNA from 1 species
UGGCAUACGGCUCAGUAACACGUAGUCAACAUGCCCAGGGGACGUGGAUAACCUCGGGAAACUGAGGAUAAACCACGAUAGGUCAUCACUUCUGGAAUGGGUAAUGACUUAAAUCUAUAUGGCCCCUGGAUUGGACUGCGGCCGAUCAGGCUGUUGGUGAGGUAAUGGCCCACCAAACCUGUAACCGGUACGGGCUCUGAGAGGAGGAGCCCGGAGAUGGGCACUGAGACAAGGGCCCAGGCCCUAUGGGGCGCAGCAGGCGCGAAACCUCUGCAAUAGGCGAAAGCUUGACAGGGUUACUCUGAGUGAUUUCCGUUAAGGAGAUCUUUUGGCACCUCUAAAAAUGGUGCAGAAUAAGGGGUGGGCAAGUCUGGUGUCAGCCGCCGCGGUAAUACCAGCACCCCGAGUGGUCGGGACGUUUAUUGGGCCUAAAGCAUCCGUAGCCGGUUCUACAAGUCUUCCGUUAAAUCCACCUGCUUAACAGAUGGGCUGCGGAAGAUACUAUAGAGCUAGGAGGCGGGAGAGGCAAGCGGUACUCGAUGGGUAGGGGUAAAAUCCGUUGAUCCAUUGAAGACCACCAGUGGCGAAGGCGGCUUGCCAGAACGCGCUCGACGGUGAGGGACGAAAGCUGGGGGAGCAAACCGGAUUAGAUACCCGGGUAGUCCCAGCUGUAAACGAUGCAGACUCGGUGAUGAGUUGGCUUAUUGCUAACUCAGUGCCGCAGGGAAGCCGUUAAGUUUGCCGCCUGGGGAGUACGGUCGCAAGACCGAAACUUAAAGGAAUUGGCGGGGGAGCACCACAAGGGGUGAAGCCUGCGGUUCAAUUGGAUUCAACGCCGGA